rnacentral:rRNA from 1 species
AAAGCGAGAUAGAGAUAUUAAGCGAAACUCAUAAAAGUAAGUCUCAGUUCGGAUUGAAGGCUGAAAUUCGCCUUUAUGAAGCCGGAAUUGCUAGUAAUGGCAGGUCAGCAUACUGCCGUGAAUACGUUCCCGGGCCUUGUACACACCGCCCGUCACACCAUGAGAGUUGGGAAUACCCGAAGCCUGUGAGCCAACUGAAAAGAGGCAGCAGUCGAAGGUAGAAUCAAUGAUUGGGGUGAAGUCGUAACAAGGUACC